UUGGNNGUANGGGNUCGCAGGCGGUUUCUUAAGUCUGAUGUGAAAGCCCCCGGCUCAACCGGGGNGGGUCAUUGGAAACUGGGGAACUUGAGUGCAGAAGAGGAGAGUGGAAUUCCACGUGUAGCGGUGAAAUGCGUAGAGAUGUGGAGGAACACCAGUGGCGAAGGCGACUCUCUGGUCUGUAACUGACGCUGAGGAGCGAAAGCGUGGGGAGCGAACAGGAUUAGAUACCCUGGUAGUCCACGCCGUAAACGAUGAGUGCUAAGUGUUAGGGGGUUUCCGCCCCUUAGUGCUGCAGCUAACGCAUUAAGCACUCCGCCUGGGGAGUACGGUCGCAAGACUGAAACUCAAAGGAAUUGACGGGGGCCCGCACAAGCGGUGGAGCAUGUGGUUUAAUUCGAAGCAACGCGAAGAACCUUACCAGGUCUUGACAUCCUCUGACAAUCCUAGAGAUAGGACGUCCCCUUCGGGGGCAGAGUGACAGGUGGUGCAUGGUUGUCGUCAGCUCGUGUCGUGAGAUGUUGGGUUAAGUCCCGCAACGAGCGCAACCCUUGAUCUUAGUUGCCAGCAUUCAGUUGGGCACUCUAAGGNGACUGNCGGUGACAAACCGGAGGAAGGNGGGGAUGACGUCAAAUCAUCAUGCCCCUUAUGACCUGGGCUACACACGUGCUACNAUGGACAG
rnacentral:rRNA from 1 species